CCAGCACCUCCCUGCCCCAUCUGUGGGUUCUGAUACCCACCCUGUACUCCCAUCUGGUUCCCAUAGCCUCCGGCAACCUGACUCCCAUAACCUGCAGCAGGUGCUCCCUGGUUCACAGGGGCACCGCUAAGCCCUCCAAGCAGAUUACCAAGCCCCAAACCAGCUCCCUGAGAGGCUAGCAAUGCAGUCAAAGCCUGUCCAAGCACAGGGUUUAAAGCUGGUGCAGCAGCAGCCACCCCAGGGUUAAACCCAGCAGCAGCAACUCCAGGGUUGAACCCCACUCCCACUGCAGCAGGCCCAGAUGGAGCCAUCAAAUGACCAGUCUCUGAGCCACUAGACGAGUAUUUCCCCUUCUUAGCGUGAUGGUAACGAGACUGAUUUUGAUGUUGUCCUUGCUGAUGAUGCUG
rnacentral:lncRNA from 1 species